rnacentral:tRNA from 1 species
CAGGGAGACAACAAAAUGUUUAAUUUUAUUAUUUUGUCACCUUAGGUCGAUCGGUAUCUCACGUUCUUAAUUUAUUAAGAAUUUCAUUUCCUAAGUUUUUCUAGGUCACACCCAUUAUUUUCCUGGGCCAUUAGCUCAGGUGGUUAGAGCGCACCCCUGAUAAGGGUGAGGUCCCUGGUUCAAGUCCAGGAUGGCCCAUAUCUCUAUGUUGGGGGUAUAGCUCAGUUGGUAGAGCGCCUGCUUUGCAAGCAGGAUGUCAGCGGUUCGAGUCCGCUUACCUCCACUGAUUACCACCUCUUCCAUAAUCUAUAGAAAGGAAAAUUUUUUGUGUUGUGAUCAUAAAUCUGAACGAAUCUAGCUUCCUAAUGAAACCAUUAAGAUGCUGGACUCAUUGAAUUAAUUUCAUUGUUUUCAGAGAACCUUGACAACUGCAUAGAUUAUUUUUAAAGACAAUAAGCAUCUUUAAUGAUGCAGAUUUAUUAUUUGUGCAAAUGCAUUAAUAACAAUUCUAUUAAGCUGAUGCUUCAAUUUUGAAGUUAUU